rnacentral:lncRNA from 1 species
CUGGCCUAACCGAGUAACAAGAUGUCCUACCACAGAGAAGGUACCUGCUGAAAAAAUAUUAAUUCCGGAGUCAAUAGUGGGUAAAAUGAAAAUGGACUAUUGAAAGCUUACUAUAUGUUUCAAAAGCCUGCUGAAUAUUGAAGAGCACGAAUAGACCUUUAAAUGUUUUACUUAUAACUUUUUGUUACUUUAUAUUGUUGGGUGAUAGUUUCAUUGUCAUUUAAGUCACAUCUUCUCUAGUAAUCUUCACCUUUUAACAUGAACCAAAUAUAAUAUUUUGUCAACAUUUGUUCAUACCAAUUUUUGCAUAAUUUUCCAUUCUAUUUAUUUUUUAGGUAAUAG